GGGGAUGUCAAUGGUUUCGACGGGAUAGGGGAGUGUAUAAGGAGCAUGUGGCCAGUGAGUGUCUUGCCUCAAAAAAAACUCAUUAUAAAGAUAAUCGCAGAAGAUAAUCAAUACGCACUAGCUGCCUAAUAACCGGCUAGGUCUUUUAAUUCCACUGUUGUAUGGGUGUGUUAAAAGAUUUUACUUUACAUACAAUAGGCCAAGCCUUAUCUUUAGGGCGUAACCGAAAUUUUAUAAAGAUCGCCUUAUUUAGCUAUGUCAGUUUAGAUGAGUAAGGUUAAAUAAAGAACUGAAUAAACAUGUAGUAGCCUUUCAUAAAGCUAAUUUCGGACGUGGGUUCAACUCCCACCAUCUCCACCA
rnacentral:tmRNA from 1 species